rnacentral:tRNA from 1 species
GUCCCUGUAGCUCAGUUGGUAUAGCAUGGUGUUUGCAACGCCAGGGUUGUGGGUUCGAUUCCCACGGGGGGCC